rnacentral:lncRNA from 1 species
AAUGCAUCUGAAGAAUCUGCCCGCAUAGGUAAAAACAUGCUCCCUUCUUGUCAUUGAAUUUUAAGCUGUGGACACAAGUCUUAUGAGUUCAUCUAUAAACAUAAGCAUAGAAAGCAGUAGAAGCCACACCUGUGGUGAGGAGCUCUCCAUAUGGGGUUGGUAAGUAAAGCAAUAAUCAUGGGUAUGCUUUCUGAGAGAAAGUAUAGCAGAAAGUAGAACAAAAUCUUGGGGGAAUGCCCACAGUUAAAGAGGCAGGCUUGAAAGGCAUAACCUGGACACAAAUAGGUAGGAAUUCAGAUUAACAUUCUUAGGGGUACAUUAAGUAACUUUGAGCUCUCUCAGCAGGUGCCAUGUGAGUCUCCAUGUGUGGUUGUGUUUUAAGCCCAGGAAGUGCUAGGAGUAAGCUGGAAUAAGCUAGAACUCACAGCUGGUUCUUCCACAUAGAGGUGGGUGACCUGUGUUCUGGGACCGCUUGAUUUCUCCAGUUCAUCUUCUGAACAUGUCCCCUCUAGAUAUGUUAUUCACACCGCCUUGGCUUUAGUCCAAGCUAUUCUAGCUGGGGUACGGUCCAAAUAAAUAAAUAAAUAAACUAAAUAAUCUGCUUGAUGAGGCCUGAGAGACACGUCCUCACGUCCCUAACCAUUCUACAACUCAAAUAGUGUCAGUCUGCCUUUGCAUCAAUGUCUCCUCAUUUCUACAAAUAGUAAGAAAAAUAUUCUUCUGGUUUAUUUCUUAACGCUGUCAUGUAGGUAAAUUGAUGAUCAGGUGAUUGCCUUCCGUCGUGUGCUUGAUUUUUCUGGGAGUGCAGUGUUGCAUGGCAAAGACAGGUAGAGACAUCUACAAUGUUAAGUAAGACGCAGGCUUCCAAACCCAAGGCCGGCCACUCUAGCUGGGAUUCUUGGAGGGGUAUGGCUCCUCUUCCCUUCUCUUUUUGGGAUAGAGAGAGAGCUCCGUCUCUUCCUGAGUUUUUAAGUCCCUGGCUAUUUCAUCCAGAGCCCAAAGUAGAAAGUCAGGUUAAUGUGAAAAGCUUGAUAUGUAUUCUUGAUAAAAACUCAAAGCCUUUGCAGAGUCUUGCAUUGGUUGAAAUCAGGGGCUGGCGCCUCCAAAUGAAAGGCAGCCACCAUUCGUGUUGACUGACGCUCAAAGCCAUGCCAUUUCUGACGAGUCUAUGUCCAAUGCCAAGUCUGUGGUGUUUUUUUUUUUUUUUUUUUCCCUUUUCAGAAAUGAAGGAGUGGAAUCACUGGGGAUACCUCCCGCAAUAGGAAAGCCCCUUGAGAACUGAAACAAGUCAUCUGUUUCUCAGGAGGAGCUGACCAAGAGCCCCCUCCUUUCGUGUGAAUUUAAAUUCCCCUUUUCAUGAGACUUUUCUUAAAGACAAGGAAAAAAAGCUAUCAGGGGAAAAUGAAUAAUAUGACAUCGAAAGUAUUGAAAGGCUUGAAAUGAUCCCACAUGUGUCAUCUGACUUUGAGAGGUGAAGGGGCUCCCGUCUGUACGUAGAGAGGCUGGCGUGCUGCCUGGAUUACUUGUCUGAUGUCACAUGCUAAUGGGAUCCCAGCUAGAAUGCUGGCAACUCUGACUGUAACAACCUCAGACACCUUUGCGCACAGCUUCAGUUUCAAAUUAAUUUUCACAUCCUCCUUAGGAAACUGGGCCCUCCGUAAUCAACAGAACUCUGCAUCGCACAUCCUAACAUUGAAACUCACCUGAGCACAAGGAUCCUACAGUUCUCCUAGACAGACCUCAAGAACCCGCACAGACCCUCGGGGCACACUCCCCUGUGUGUUUUGGAACAAAUAGUCACUCUCUGUGUUUUCAAAUGUCCUUUGGCCUUUUGUCAAAUCCACACUGACCUCUUUUCAAAUGCGUGUGGUCAGUGUUAUUUUUCAAAGGCCCUUUGAAGUUUGCUUUGUUGCCUUCCCUCCCUGUGGGUCACAGAGCAAUUACUGGAAGAUUUGUGGGAGGCCGCUUUUGGCUUUGUGUACAUGUGAACGCCUGUUUAUAAAUCAGGUGAGUUAAGAACUGUGAUGUGGGGGUCCCCAGCUUCCAGCUAGCAGCAGCUUCCCAAUUCCUUCUGCGUGAGGAUCACCAGAAAAUAACCAAAGCCAAAAUUUCAUUCUGAGUCUGUGGGGUUUUCUACAACAGGUCCCGUGUCUUCUUUCUUGGCCCCAUCCUUCCCUGUGGCUUCCCUCUCCUUGGAGUUAAAUACUGGCUGGAUGUCAGGCUGGGGACCCUCAGUGCACCCCACUGGCCCAAGUGGGGCACCGGGAGCGUGUUCCAGGCCUGCCAAGGUGGCAGUGUGUGCAUCCCCUCUCUCAGGGUUCUUCUAGCUGUAAUUUCAAGAUUGGGAGCUUUUCCUGACAGCGCAGAGUCCACUUGCCCUACAUUUAAUUGACUUCACAAACUUUCAGUUCCCUGUCUGUAAAUGGGGUUAGUAUGUAAAUGGGACUGCUGCAAGGAUACAUGAGAGAAUACCUAUGGGAUUAGAGGGACCCUUGUCCUCACCACUCCAUCAGGCAAGGAGGGAAGCCCCCGUCAGAUUAAUUGGAUAACUGGAGCUGCCUGCAGUCAUAAAACGAAAUCAUGUUUGUAUAGGGACCUCUACGAUCCAGACACAUCACUUCAUUGCAUCCUCAUGCCCAUCCUGUGCGGAGGUUAUGGUUGUUACCUCAUUUUGACAAUGAAGCAUCAAAGGUUGAGAGGUAAAGAGACUUUUCACUCUGUAACCUAUCUUUUUCCCACUAGGGUGGAACCACUCAUAAAUAACUGUAUUCAUAAAAUGUUACAGUUCCGUGGGAAACAACGCAACUUGGCAACUCGUAGAAAGACUUUGUGAGACUAUGUGGGGCUAUUUGUAUCUUAAGCUAAUUGAGGCAAAGAGCUAGGGAAGGAGACGGGCUUUCUAUCACAGCCCUGCCUCCGUCCUUUCCUUAUGAGGAUUCCAGACUCUCCCACAUAUCGUGUACCUGAUGACAAGGCACAGGAUAAGGUGACCAGAGGUGCUCAGACAGUGGCUUUCUCACCAGAGGUAAUGACAUUCUGAUCAAGAUUGGAUUGAUCACUGGCUCUUCUCAUGCCACAUUUUCACAUCAAGUGUUGAAGGCCACUGUCUUCUUCUUUGUCCUGUGGUUACACAACAUUGAGUGGAGGAAUGUUCUGGCCGUGUGUCCACACAGCCUUGAGGCAUCCCAAGAGAGUGGGAAGAUCAAAGAUUUGGGAAUCAGAAAAAGCAAGUGAGAAGACCAGUGCUGUCAUCCAACAGCUGUGUGCCUGGAAUCACUCUGACCUGUCUCAACUUCAUUUUACUCUUUUGUAAUAUGGGUUUUUGACACCUACAUUGCAUGGCUAUUGUGAGGAUUUAAUGAGAUAAAGUAUGUAAAGUUCUUGUCACAGAAGACAGUCAACAAGUUAAAGCUGACAUGUCCUUCCACCUCGAGGGUCUCAAACCUCAAGUGCAUGCUGUCUCUAUCUCUCUCUCUCUCUGUCCCCUCUCAUCGUACCCUUACACCCUUUGGACAAUUAUGUGACCUCUCAGAGCCUCAGUGUCUUCAACUCUAAUAGAGAAUCACAGAGUUGCUGGAAUGCCCAGGACAACGAAAUUCUAAAUUAAUGCUUUCAAUCCCAGGUGCAGUUUCCCUGUGUUUGUGCAGGGCUGGGCCGAGUUAGGAGCCUGAAUCUCUCUCCACCUCCAUGGCUUCUCCAGGAGGCUUCAUCUUGCUGCGGAGGUGGACUGCAGAUGGCCACUGCCACCACUCCUCAGAGGGCAUGUUAUACUGGUGGAGUUAAUAACUGACACCUGGGAGAUUAGGUCUGUGGCUCUCCUUUCUCUCUAGUGAUGAUCAGUUCUAUCCAUGGGGACUCAGAACGGAGGGCCAGAGAGGACUGCAGAAACAAAGUCCAGAGAUGUGAAGUGACUUGUCCAAGAUCCCAAAGCUUGUCCAUGUCUGAAUCACGAUAAACAACUUCAGGGAUGGUCUCUCUAUGAUAUUUAAAACAGUGUGUGUUGUCUUCUGCUUUUCCUUUGAUUUGGAGCCUGCUGUUAUAACACUGUCUUGUUGGACUGCCACGUGUCCACUGGGAAUUGCUCCCAGAGCAGAAUUGGACUCAGCAGGGCUGCAGCGGAGUGUGGUGAAAGGACUGCUGAACAGGGUGGGGAGCAGAGGUCUGAGGGCCAGUCUCCCUAUCCACUGCUGACUUUUCUUGGGUAUUUGAGGUUUUCCUAGGUUUAAAUUAGUUGAAUAAAAUAGAUAGUUUUCAGGCCUUUUGAUUGUUCAAUGCUCUGGAAUUGGAGCCCUUUGGACAGAAGAAAUUUACAUGUCACCUUAAAACAUACAUAAAAAAGUGCAAAGCUGCUCCAGUUGAAGUUAGAAGAGGAAAGCAAGAACCUCUUUCCCUGGGCACCCCUGAAGCACAUUGCGGAACCCUGGGCCUCCUCAGAGCACAGUCUGGAAACCUCCAGACUGGAGGCCUCUAAGAUCUUCUGGUGGGAUGAUAAGUGUGAGAUGCAUCCAGAGGUACUACCAAAGAUCUUCACUUCUCCAGGGUCCUCCCAGGAAUAUACAUUUGUCUCAGAAGCCAGCAAACUCCCUUGUCUUCCCUUCACUUCCUGCCCAUGUGCCAAGGUGGUAGGUUUCAGAGUUAAUGGAAAGCUGGGACUUGACCCUGUUCCUCAAGGAGCUUAUUCUUAAACUUUCAAGGCAGAUGCCCCACGAAUGUUUGAAAAAUAGAUGAAAACACCUCUUUUGAGGGAUACAGAAGCCAAAAACUGUGCCUAGCACCCAGUCCUCAGUAAGAAGUACAUUUGGCAUGGUGCCCAGAGCAUAUAUGCUUAUCCAUAUGAAUGCCAUAAAAAACCUGGAGAGAAUCCAUUCUCUUUGUUUCAUUAAAAAGAUGCUGGUGGUGAGCCACUG